rnacentral:lncRNA from 1 species
AAAUAAAAUAAUAUUAAUAUAAAAUUAUAAAAUAAAAUAAAAACACAUGGGUGUUGAUGUGGCACAAUAUAAUUGGUCAAUGGGUUUUUUUAACAAUGUUAAUGUACAGCCCAAUUUUAGCCCGGGCCAACACCAAAUGAACCCAAACCAAAUCAAAAAUAAAAAAUAAAAACCCAUAAGGCCCAAUGUACUAUAAGCCCAAUGGCCCAAAAUACCAAAAAUUUUCAGAAAGGGUUUCUAGCGCUGCUGCCCCUCAAUCAUGUCACCUCUCACACCGCCCGAGGUCUGCCACCGCCUGCAACCUUACACCAAAAUAGCAAACUCCGCAUCCGUUGACCACCUGCAAGAAAAGAGAAAGAAAAACACAACAACAACAACAAAUAGCAGAAACAAACAGUAGCAAAAAGCUAAUAUGUAUUUGGCUAUAAAAGUAAAAGCAAUGUAAUCAGAAAAGGGGAAGAGAACGAAUGUAAAUAUAUAUAUAUUGAGGAGAAAUCAAAAAAUAGAAGUUCAAAAAAGGUGAUUCUUUUAUAGUUUUUGAUAUUUUAAAUCUGUGUUUUUUUUUACAUAUCUGUAAAAUAAAAAUAAAAAAGGGAAGGGAGUUUACCUGCGCCGCGUCGGAGGAAAGGAAGAAACAAACAAUUUCUUUCGAUUUUUCUAGGUUUGGCCCAUCUUUCGAAGAAUUUGGCCUUGAAUCCUAGUUCUAUGGAUGGCCGACCUCAAAAGAGACCGAUGAGGGCCCGACUUUGCACCUCCGACCGCCGCCUACGGCGAAGCAACUGCAGAGGUGCACCGAAGCCCUAGAUCGGAAUAUGGGCAAGGGGAAAGAGGGACCGAGAGAGAAUGAGGAUGUUCUUCUGGAAAAAGAAGAGGAAAAGAGCUUUUUUUGAAAAAAAAAAUUAGUUUUUAUACUGCUACAAGACGAC